rnacentral:lncRNA from 1 species
UUUAACAGCUGAACAAGAGCUGUGUGGAUAAGGAAGGUGACAAAGGAGAUGGGCCACUUUGAAAUUACCAGUAAGCAGAAGACCAACUGAACUGCUGUAUGAUACCGCAUUAUCCAAGUCAGUCUAACAGGGAGACCGUGGGAAUGGAUGGACCUCAUGCUGGAUGCCUACAUGGAUGUGGGGGUUCCAGGCCCUUUUGGGAAGUGCAAUGCUGCAAAGGAUUUAGUACAUCACUGAAGUCAAACAUGGCUACGAAUCAGAUUCACUGCGUGUGACAGAAGACGAGUAAGCUAAGCUCUGUUUCGGUGCUCUUGGAUGAGGUGACAUCACUUAUGUACUAUCUGAACCAUCUGAAACGUCUCUAAUAAUGAUAAAAGCAUUUUAGGCUGGAAAAGAUCCUGAAGAUCAUUGGGUCCAGUCAUCCACCUAACUACCAAGUCCAGCACUUAACAGAAGGUAAAUUUCUAUGUCCAUUUAGAUACAGACUGAUUUGCAUGUAAUUGCCACUGAUGCGGUGGGAUGCACUGGGUUAAGACCAGGUUAGAAACUUGACAAAAUGUGUGGCAAAUUGUUUGGACUAUAGCAAAAGGUGUAAGCUGUUGGGAGCUUUGCCCAUGUUUCAUCUGCAACAGGCUGAGGUUCUCCAUCCUCUAACCUGUACUACAAGUUAUCUGUCCCAAUAAAUGAACAUUUUGAUUUCCUGAAAAAAAAAAAAGCCAGUAACAAUGAAUCCCGUUUCAGCUGAAGAAUUGAGUAAUUUCCCCAAAAUCUUGAAAGCAGAAACUUAUCAACACAACGCCCUGCCAUGUCCACAAUUUGAAAGGCCCCUGCCUGAUCUGGCAAAGCUGAUGAUUUCAGAGGAGCUCUAUUGCUUGGAGUAGCUCCAUUUUGAAGCAUCCACUUUGAGGUACAGUAAGCCUCAUCCUAUGAGCACACAGUGAUCAUGGAUCAAGCUGAAGUCACAGCGAGGAGAAAAUGGCCAUCAGUUUCAAAAACUCAG